GACGAACGCUGGCGGCGUGCUUAACACAUGCAAGUCGAACGGAGUGGCGAACGGGUGAGUAACACGUGGGUGACCUGCCCUGCACUUCGGGAUAAGCCUGGGAAACUGGGUCUAAUACCGGAUAGUGUGGGAUGGGCCCGCGGCCUAUCAGCUUGUUGUUGGGGUAAUGGCCUACCAAGGCGGCGACGGGUAGCCGGCCUGAGAGGGUGGACGGCCACAGUGGGCCUGAGAAACGUACCAGACGCAUACGGGAGGCAGCAGUGGGGAAUAGUGCACAAUGGGCGGAAGCCUGAUGCAGCGACGCCGGGUGGGGGAUGACGGUCUUCGGGGUGGAAAGUGCUUUCACCAUCGACGCGGUAGAUGGAGAAGAAGCACCGGCUAACUACGUGCCAGCAGCCGCGGUAAUAC
rnacentral:rRNA from 1 species